rnacentral:rRNA from 1 species
UACGAAGGGGGCUAGCGUUGUUCGGAUUUACUGGGCGUAAAGCGCACGUAGGCGGAUCGUUAAGUCAGGGGUGAAAUCCUGGAGCCUCAACUCCAGAACUGCCUUUGAUACUGUCGGGCUCGAGUUCGGAAGAGGUGAGUGGAAUUCCUGGUGUAGCGGUGAAAUGCGCAGAUAUCAGGAGGAACACCAAUGGCGAAGGCAGCUCACUGGGACGAUACUGACGCUGAGACGCGAAAGCGUGGGGAGCGAACAGG